CCCUUAGAUGUUCUGGGCCGCACGCGCGCUACACUGACGAAUGCAACGAGCUUAUAACCUUGGCCGAAAGGUCUGGGUAAUCUCCAAAUUUCGUCGUGAUGGGGAUAGAUUAUUGCAAUUAUUAAUCUUCAACGAGGGAUGCCUAGUAAGCGCAAGUCAUCAGCUUGCGUUGAUUACGUCCCUGCCCUUUGUACACACCGCCCGUCGCUCCUACCGAUUGAAUGGUCCGGUGAAGCGCUCGGACCGCGGCCUCUUGACGGUUCGCUGUCGAUUGGCUGUGGGAAGUUCGUUAAACCUUAUCAUUUAGAGGAAGGAGAAGUCGUAACA
rnacentral:rRNA from 1 species